UCUUGUGGCUGGAAGUUUUGACCACAGC
rnacentral:piRNA from 1 species